GGGGGGGGGGGGGGUCUGCAGGAUUAUUUAAGAUACUCUUUUAAGAGGUAUGGUUUCAGAUGUUUUCGUAAGAGGGUCAGGGAGAAGCUUGUUCCACCAUUGGAGUGCCAGGACAAAGAAGAGUUUUGUCUGGGCUGACGGGGGCUGCCCUACCGUAGGGGUAGAAGGACCAGGAGAGAAGAGGUGGCAGAACAGAGUACUCAGGUUGGGGUGUAGAGUUUGAACAUAGCCUGAAGGCAGGGAGGGGCAGAUCCCCUUGCUGCUCUGUAGGCAAGCAGCAUGGUCUUUUAGUGGAUGCAAGUCAGUGGAGUGUGCAGAGGAGUUUGUGGUCUUUGGUUCAAUGUUUUUACCCUCUGAGUUGUCCUGAGCUGCGGAGGAAUAACUGUACUGCUGAACAUCUUUUCACUUUGAUGCUCAGGGUUUGGGUCCUGAGAGAUGGAGAGAGAGAAUGAGUAGGAAACCCAGAUACCCAGCUCACACUGCAGACAUGAAGGAGAGAGAGAGACAGAACCCCAGCUCACACUACAGACAUGAAGGAGAGAGAGACAGAACCCCAGCUCACACUACAGACAUGAAGGAGAGAGAGAGACAGAACCCCAGCUCACACUACAGACAUGAAGGAGAGAGAGAGACAGAACCCCAGCUCACACUACAGACAUGAAGGAGAGAGAGAGACAGAACCCCAGCUCACACUGCCACAGACACCCACACCUAAGCCUGGUUCAUGUUUCCCUCCAGACCACAACCCAGUCUUAAUGUGGUUCUAAGACAUUUAGAUAAAGUCCAGAUAUGAACUCCCUUUGCCUAAAAAAAAUACACAGAUCUUGAGACUAAAUAAAUAGUAAUAGAUACAAUAAACAUAGUCUGUAUCCACACAGGAAACAAACCCUGGUCAUAGACAUAGCUCAAAAACCACAAUGUCCUCCAACAUGAAGCUGCUUUACCGGAAGACUGAUGGUUUUAGGU
rnacentral:lncRNA from 13 species